UUCAGAUACCAAAUAUCUGAAACCAAAACCGGUUUUAAUUUAAUUUCAAUAUGUAACAUUUUUAUUUAGCUCAUAUUCAAUAACAUUUUCUUAAAACUCUUAAUUUUUAGUUGAUUUUUCUAAUUCUUUAUGGAUUUUAGAAAGCUUAAUUAUUUAUUGCCAAUUUUUUAAUUUUAAUUUAAACAUUCGUUAAAUAUUCAAUUACUCUCCAUAUCUAUUCAACCCCCCGUGGUUUCGUACUUUCUCACUUUAAUAUCCUAUGAUUUAAAGUGUAUCAAGUUAGUACCUGUGGUUUCGCACUUUCUCACUUUAGUACCUUAUUGUUUAAAGUGUAUCAAAUUAGUACUCUGUGGUUUCAUUUUUGUAUCAAGUUAGUACCCUCUGAUUUCAUUUUUCUCUUUUUAUUAUCCAUUUCGGAAUAUUUUUUUCGUUAAAUUAGUGACAAAGUUAAAACUAAAGGGUACUAAAAUGAAUAUUCGAUAAACCUAGGUCGCAUAUCUGAAGUUUUUUGUAUAUAAUCUAACGAAAUAUUAAACCACAUGGUAGUAAAGUGAGAAAGUGCGAAACCACAAAGUACUAACUUGAUAUACUUUAAACCACAGAAUACUAAAAUGAGAAAGUAAGAAAUCACCAGAGUAUUUAAAAUUUUUUCUUUAAUUUUUGUCUAAAACUAAUAAUUUAGAUAUCAUUC
rnacentral:lncRNA from 1 species